AUUUAAGAUUCAAUCAUAUGUAAUUUGUAUCUCACAAUCACAACUCCUUGUGAUUAACAAAUUAUCAAGAUUUGAAUCUACGGACUCUAUUAUUUAAUUUAAUUAUAUAUUAAUUAAAUAGAUUUGCUAUACAAUGUAUCAAUUAUAUAUUAAAAGUAUUUAUGUCCAAAGUUGAUUGGACUUAUGACAUAACACUUACAUCUUUAUCACACCACUCACUUAUGUCUUACUACAAAAUUAAAAGAUAUAGCUUGGUUAUGACACUUUCGCUAUGGCCAUCUCAAUUCUGGUGGAUUGAAGACCUUGUAGCAGAAAAAUAUAGUGGUAGGUCUUCCAAAAUUUGAGACUCCUUUAGAGUUGUGUGAAGAGUGUAUUAUUAGUAAACAACAUCGAGAUGUCUUCUCAAAAGGGAAGUCUUGGAGGUCAAAGAAAAUGUUAGAACUAGUGCAUUUUGACUUGUGUGGGCCAAUCAAUCCAAUAUCAAAUGGUGGUAAAUGAUAUUUUCAGUCAUUUAUUGAUGAUUUUAGUCGAAAAACUAGGGUUUAUUUUUUGCAAGAAAAAUCAGAUGCUUUCACUAUUUUUCAAAAAUUUAAAGCGCUAGUUGAAAAUGAAGUUGGAACAUCAAUCAAAAUAUUUCGCAUAGAUCGUGCUGGAGAAUAUAACUGAAAAAAAUUGGUGAAUUUUGUGAUAAACAUGGAAUUAGAAGGUAGCUAACUGCAACUUAUACACCUCAACAAAAUGGUGUUUGUAAGAGGAAAAAUCGCACUAUUUUGAACAUGGUGCGAAGGCUUUGCAGAGGAUUGGAGUUCCAAAAAGAUUUUGGGCUGAAGCGGUUAAUUAGAGUGUUUAUAUUUUGAAUAGGAGCCCCAGACUACUUGUUCAACAUAUAACUCCUGAAGAAACAUGGAGUGGGCAUCGACCAACUGUUGAUCAUUUUCGGGUUUUUGGGUGUAUAGCAUAUGCACAUGUUCCAAAUGAAAAAAAGAAGAAAGUUAGAUGACAAAGGUGAAAAAUGUAUUUUUCUUGGUGUUAGUGAUUAUUCAAAGGCUCAUAAAUUGUAUAAUCCUAUCAUAAAGAAAAUAAUCAUUAGUCAUGACGUAGUUUUUGAUGAAGAAAAAACAUGGUUAUGGAGUAGCAACACUGAUGGACAGUAUGUUCCAGGACAUUUGAGAGAAAAAAUGAGGAGGAAACUAAGCAACAAGCUCUAGCAAUCCUUGUUUCUAAGAAGGAACCUCUCGUAAAUUCUGAAAUUUCACCAGUAGAGGUUGAUGCUAUA
rnacentral:lncRNA from 1 species